CCUACGGGAGGCAGCAGUGGGGAAUAUUGCGCAAUGGGCGAAAGCCUGACGCAGCGACGCCGCGUGCGGGAUGAAGGUCUUCGGAUCGUAAACCUCUGUCAGCAGGGAAGUACGGUCACUGUGCUAAUCAGCAGUGAAUUGACGGUACCUGCAAAGGAAGCACCGGCUCACUCCGUGCCAGCCGCCGCGGUAAUACGGAGGGUGCGAGCGUUAAUCGGAAUUACUGGGCUUAAAGCGCUCGUAGGCGGUAUGUCAAGUCAAGGGUGAAAUCCCCACGCUCAACGUGGGAACUGCCUUUGAAACUGUCAAACUGGAGUGUGUGAGAGGAGAGUGGAAUUCCAGGUGUAGCGGUGAAAUGCGUAGAUAUCAGGAGGAACACCGGUGGCGAAGGCGGCCUGCUGGACUGCAACUGACGUUGAGGCCCGAAAGCGUGGGGAGCAAACAGGAUUAGAUACCCUAGUAGUC
rnacentral:rRNA from 1 species